CAUUUAGCAACCAUGCCCACAAACGAUGCUACCUAAUCUGGCAUUUUCCAUCAGAGAAUCUGUGCAACCCAAUGGGCUAGUUGUGUCAUUCCGCGUGACUGUAUGGGCAGGCCGCAUAAAGCCAGGAGAAAAGUUGGGGGCACUGAUGGCAACUCCUACCACCACACGAUCGAGCAAAAGGCACUGGAAGGUGUCCAGGUUCAAUGCACGCGAUCCCGGUCGUUGAAGGACACCGUUCAAAGCUGAAGACCCAGAUGACAAGUUCCAGAGCAGGUCAGGUAACGGAGCUUUGAGCCUCUGAAAGGGCAUCUGGAUAUUUGGGAGGGUAUAAGUAGCUUUGUAGAAGCAUCAUCUCUGAAAGCCAGGAUGAUGAUGCCAUUCUUCCCUGAGCUGUAGGAGGAGAUCAGGCUGUCGUCUCGCAUGGAGUUCCCCCAUUCUCACUUCUUGGCUCUAGUCACUUCUUGGCUCUUGGUAGUUUGUUGUUCCUUUCAGGUAGGCAAGAGGGUUUGGUUGUUGUGAUGUUGAUCUCCUUUGUGUUCGCCGGGGAGAUGGCGUUUGCAUCUCAUCUUGCUGCUGCUGCGUGUUGAUGCAGUUUGAUUGUAUGCGUUGUAUCCAGGCAAAUAAAUCUUUGAUGAGCUUAUUUCUGUCUCCUUUAAUAAAUCUCCUUUUUGUAGCGCGUGGAGUGCGUGGCCGGGUCGGCCAGCGUGUCUGUGUGCGGUCUUUUUAUUUGCGCCAUGAACAUUGUAACGGUUUUCGCUCGGUUUUUCCGUUUAAUUAACUGGCCAAUUUAUUUCUUCUUGAUCAAUGGAUUGAGUCUUCAGACUCCGGUUUGAAAAAAAAAAUCUUUGAUGACACAUGAAUGGUCGUGUUUCUUCUUUCGCUCUGUCUUUGACUGUAAAUCACCUCGGGAAAUACAAAUGUUCAACUUACAGACUGCUAUUCCGUUAUGCCACUAAUGGGCGUUUUGGAAACAAAAAGAUAUGUAAAUGUUCGACUCGAGAGAUGCAAUGUGUAUUUCUGGAUGGGCUCAUGAUUCUGGAGUCUGAACUUUAGGUUCAGGGGCAUCUCAUUGGAUAAGUUUCGGAUCCAGGACCGGUUUCUGAAUAAAAAACUCUAAUGCCAAGGAGCAGUUAAGACUUCAUGUUGGUUUAUUUUCCUAUAAUCUCGAUCAAACUUUAAGAAGGUGACUUCAUACAAAUCUAGAACUUAUUACGGAACGGAGGCAGCGAUAGAUUUAGAAAAAUUCAGAUGCACGAAUUGGGCUGCACCAAACAAGCGGCCCAGGCAAGUCUGGCGGCCUUGUUCCCUAGGGACGGCCCUGGUUAUGGACAGGGCGGCCCGCGUGGAGUACUCAUCCGCUACAGAUCAGCCGGCGGUGAGCGUCGCGCCGCCGCGCGUGCCAUACACGAACUGCCGCAGGACUCGGAGCAGCUCGUCGGCGGCCUUGCCCCACGGCUCGUAGACGAAGAAGGCGUGCCCCUGCCCAACAACAAACUCUGUUUUUCUAAAAAUACUCUGUUUUUUUUAAAAAAAAACAAGUAGGAGCUGUACUUCUGUACCUAAUAAUAAAAGCAGUAGUUGGUUUUCGUCCGUUUUUUGGGCCGGCCUUUUCUUUCCGGGCCAAGUCCACCUCCUGCGCCUCCUUCCUCUCUCUGCAUCGCCAAGCCAACCAGCUUCCUGCCUCUCUGCAUUGACGGCGCCGACGACCGCAUCGUCGUCUGGAUUGCCAGGAUUGUUUCCGUCGUCCGUCCGCCUGGUACGUCCGCGAGCCACCCCGCACCCCUCAUCCGGUCCUCCCCCCUCCUCUCGCAUCCUCCGGUCGCGGUGUUCCAGCUGGCGUUGCAGACAGAGACGCAGUCGACGGACCGGCCGACGAUGCAUGAGGUGGUGCACGUCCUGUACUGCCUCGUGCAUCCCGACCCGCCGCCGAAGCUUAUGCAGCCGCCUCUGCUGUCGUCCUCCUCGCUGCAGCCAGCGGCCGUCCUGGAUCUGGAGGCACAGCGUCGCUGGAGCAGGAGGGCGCCGAGGUGGAUAAGGUGAGGGUUUGCAGUUUGGCUGUCCUAUGGUGCGGCAUAGGAACAUAGCUUAUUGUCAGCAUUUGACUUAUUUACAGCAACAUAGCAAGGUAUUGUCAGCAUUGCUCCUUUUACAUACUUAUACCUGAGGUGAAGAUUGAUACCACAACCACCUUUCUGGUGCAGCAUUGAUGAUAUAGAUGAGGCUGUUCUAGGACCUGGUAGAUUUGGGAAGAAGCAUUUUGUUCCUUUUACCUUGUGCUGAUGGGAAUGCACAUGCUGAGAAAAAAACUGUCUCUGACGGUGUUGAUUUGGAUGCACUUGCACGUCGAGAGGAGUGCAAUAAUCUCACAAUGCACACCUAGCUUUACUGGUUAUUCACUGUUUUUAAAUUGAAUGGCUGCUCUGUCUUAAUUUGCCGAAAUCUGAUAUUUUGCUUACUUGUGUAAUCUGUGGCCAGGAAAUCCUAAGACAUGAUUGAUAAUUGGUUCAAUCCACUAGAGUAAACUAAGCUUGUAUCGUUAUGUCAUUAUGGAUUGCACCGUUUUUGUCCUCUGUUAAUUAGCUGAAGUAUAAUAACUAGCAAGAAGUUUUCUUGAUCUCUGUUUGUUGCAUGGUGGUGUACUAUGUUAGUCUCAUGGUGUACUGUGGAGUGUUUGUUGCAUGGUGGUGUACUAUGUUAGCUCAUGGUGUACUGUUGGAGUAUAAUACCUAGGCCGUGGCAACGCAAGGGUAUCUUUACUAGUAAUGUCCGAUGGCCCAAUGCCCUCGAUAGUUCUCGACGUCCUUCCGUUGACAAGUCAGUAAUCUGCUUUUACUUGCACAAGCCAUUGCCACGAGGAGAGCGCAAAGCAGCACAGUACAGACUCCAGAGUCCAAGCAAGAAAUUUAGCACGACGAGGUCGAGAAUUCGAGAUCGAGAAAACCAUGGCAUCAAUGCCUCCAGCUCCCUCCUCUCAUCCGGACAACGCAGCGCCGGCAUGCCGCAGGUGCUCAGCGACGGCACAAUCGUCCGUCCCCCGCCGCCGCCCUUCUUUGGCUCCGCGACCAGCUACAAAAGAUCACAUAUUGGAACGACAGCACAGCUUUUUAAUCCUUGCGCAAGUCGAUGGGAAGGGCCAAAUAAAGAGAUCUGAACUUCAACCAUUCCUCGCCAGGCCCAAGAAUGUUGUAUGCUCUCUGCAGCAUGUCGUCACGCGCCAAGUCAGGCAUCUCAUGUAGCGUCGACGCCAACGCCUCUUCAGGGGAGGCCAUGGGCGUCAAGCCUGAUGAGCUUGGUUUCUUUGGUGCUCCAAGAGUAUCGUCUUCACGUCGCCAUUGCCUUUGGCUCGCCGCCGUACGUUCGUCGUGGGAGAAGGCGUUGAAAUGCGUUCGUCGUGGGAGGAGGCAGAGCUGGGCCUCCAUCGCCGCCCUUUCCCCUUCCUCCCCGUCGUCGUCGUCCCUGAAACAGCGAUCGAGCGCCGCCGCCAUCUUGUCUUGUUCGCGGCGCAGGAGCGUCGUGGAUCUCGAAUCCAUGUAGCGCUGCUCCUUCUUCUUCCGCCCCCACUGGUCCUCUCGCUCGGCGUGGUAGCAAGGGGGCAACAACGACAGCGACGGCGGCCGAGCGGGCGCUGUACACGAAGAAAUCGACCGUGCAGCCCAUGUCUGGAGGAGGACGGAGUCGCCGUGGGCCGCCAAGACGAGCGUUUCGACCUUGAUCCCGUGCGGGUAGUCGACGACAGCGCCGGCGGAGACCCGGGCGAGGUGGCCGCUGGAGACGCGGGCGUCGGGAUCAUCGCACCGCCGGUACUGCUCGAGCAGAAGCGGCCGGCCAAGGAUCGCCAUCGGGUGGUGGUUCCUGGUGAUCCGGUCGGGUUUUCAUGUCCCGCAGGUUCGAUUUGUUGGGGAUCGCGCCGUAUUUCUAUCGGCUCGCUCAUCUGAUUUGUUGGAGGAGAACGAGCCUAAUUUGCUGGGAAAUCGGUACGAGUACGAUCGAGUUUGUUGCCUUCCAGGCGAGGAAAAGGCGUGCUAAGUAGAGCUCUUAUUUAGGUGUAUUUUUUAGAAACAAAACAGAGUACUAUCUUUUUUGACAAUUAGAAAACAGAGUAUAUAUACUCGUACAUCCCAACUGCUAAAACCCCCAAUUUACGGACUCGUUUCUUUUUUGUUUACUAGAGUACCCUUUGUGAAGAAACCUAUAUUGCGUAUGCCUUGUUUGGUUUGAGCAGGCCCUGUUUGCUGCGGAAUGGAUAAACGAAUCCAGGUAUUGCAGGUUUGAAGUGAACUGAGCAAAUCAUGUUAUGGUAAGGAGGGAGGCCGAGGGGCGCGUGACGGUGCCGUCCUUUUUUUUGCGUAUGCCUUGUUGGUUUGAGCAGGUGACGGUGCUCGGUUCGAUCCGUGUAUGGUUACAACUUAGAACUGUUUGAAGGCUUGCGUUGGAACGCAGAUAUUUCACUGGAAUUCAACACAAAAGAGUUUAGUUUUAUGCUAGAGAGGAGAUCGUCGAGGGCGUGGCCAUUGAGCUGAUUAUUGAUUCUUGCCUUGAUUGCUGCGACUGAUUGUCCGACCGGAGAGCCAACGAAGGAUAGAGGCAGACGCAUUAUCGAGACGUCAGGCUAAACAGGCCUCCUCAAGCGCACCAACCUCGAAAUGGGGUUCCCUUCAGAAAAGGAAAAAAACCUCAAAAUGGGCCCUGAAAGGCCCAACUGAGCUUUAAUGAAGCUUUGCGAGCCUGCCGAGCCCAACCGUGUGAUCAAGUAACCCCAGGUAAGCAGGAUGUUGGAGUUGGAACUCUAAAAAAAAAAAGAUAAGCAGGAAUUUUGGCUCAUGUACUAUUGUGUAUACAUACAUACGCUGUCUUCAUUCUUCGACAUAGCGAGAGGGAUUGCCCUUCAACAUAUAUAUACAUGUACUUGUCUCGUCUGCUAGCUUAAUUAGUUAUUGCUGAUUCCCUGCCGACAUAUCCACCGUUUGUCUCUGAAGAGAUCUUCUAUAGCUACUCUAGUGACAUUGUCAAAUGGAAAAUGGAAAUCGGUGCAUGUCCUCAUUGGGUAACAUAUAUACUUACUCCCUUGCUAAGGUUCAACUCACU
rnacentral:lncRNA from 1 species